rnacentral:misc_RNA from 1 species
CCAAACUUGGUCAUUUAGAGGAAGUAAAAGUCGUAACAAGGUCUCCGUUGGUGAACCAGCGGAGGGAUCAUUACCGAGUUAUUACUCUAAACCCUGUGAAUUUACUGUCAAAAGCUUCGGUGGCCUGCCCCGGGGGGCGCCAUUCGGCUGCCGAAAGUUUUUCAAACCUUUUUACUGAGUCUUCUGAGUAAAAACAAAAACAAGUCAAAACCUUCAACAACGGAUCUCUUGGUUCUGGCAUCAAUGAAGAACGCAGC